CGUUGAAAGGGUGACCUUUUUAUCUAUCACACCAGAGCAAAGCCAAUUUGGAACCCAACGUGAGCGAGUAGGGAGAGAAAGUGAGAAGAAGAGAGAGAAAGUGAGAAGAGGAGAGAAAGAAGACAGAAGGGGCAGAAGGAUAGAGAGAUGUGACGAAGAUGCAGAGUGAAUGGUUAGAGGGAGAGGAAGAUAAGCUUGGUUUUUUCUUGCUCUCCUUCUUAGUUUGCUGAUGCUCUCUUCUUGUGGUUGAACCCUAAUUUUUUGGACCCCACUUGAAAAUUCGCCUCCAUUGUUUCUUUUCUUCUGGUAUUUCGAGUCUUGGAGCUGCUGUUUUUGGGCAAAAUCAGCAAAGAGGAUAUGGCAGCAACUAGGAACGAAGUGCCCCAAACUAGAGUUUUAAGGUGGAGCAAUUGUUCCUGGUAAGAAGAAGGCAGCAACCACUGAUGGCAACAAUAACCUGAAAGCAUUGGGAUAUAGGAAAUCUAGAAGCCGAACAAGGCAACGUACUCAAGAUUGAAGACCUAAAUUCUGCUUUCCCUAUUCUCUCACGAAGCCUUUUCAACACACCAAUUACUAUUUUUUACUCGAAUUCUUUGAUAACAUGAUACUUCUCUCUCAAAUCUCUCGGCCAAGUUACAAGGUCUGUUAAGAACCUGUUCAUAUUUGUUUCUUGUAGAAUCAUCCCUCUUCCCCCUCCCCUUAAAAAUUGAAUCUCUCUCUCAAAUUGUAUUUCUCUUUUGGUUUUCAAAAGCUUUGGAGUGUAACUUUCUGGCCAAUGCACGGGCUGCUGUUACAGCCAACUAGGUAAAUGAGCAAACCAUUUCUAAUUAUUUUCCUCUCAAUUGAUAUCAUUGUCUUC